GGAUGUGAGGGAAAUCUGGCUGCAACAUCUGUCACCACACUGAUUGCCAGGAUUGAUUUGGCUGAUCUGGCUGGCUAGGCCAGCCACCUUCCUCCUUUACCACUCCACAUGUAUCCCUUCCAAAGUUUCAUGCUCAGUGGAAGAGGACAACCACCCACAAUAGAGGAAGACCAUUUCCUUGGUCAAGGGUAUAUGAGUAGAUAUGAUCCCCUGCAACCACCCCUGAUAGAGGAGAACCAUUUCCUUGGCCAAGGGUAUAUGAGUAGAUGUGCUCCCCUGCUAGAACCUCCAAACAAGCUCUCACAGAAGAAUAUGAGACUGUAGGUGUGUAUAUAGGAUGCAAAGGGUAAUAGGCAAUUACAAAUUAAUGAUACAUAUAUGUAAUU
rnacentral:snRNA from 1 species